rnacentral:rRNA from 1 species
UAAUACGAAGGUGGCAAGCGUUGUUCGGAUUCACUGGGCGUACAGGGAGCGUAGGCGGUUGGGUAAGCCCUCCGUGAAAUCUCCAGGCUUAACCUGGAAAGUGCAGAGGGGACUGCUCAGCUAGAGGAUGGGAGAGGAGCGCGGAAUUCCCGGUGUAGCGGUGAAAUGCGUAGAGAUCGGGAGGAAGGCCGGUGGCGAAGGCGGCGCUCUGGAACAUUUCUGACGCUGAGGCUCGAAAGCGUGGGGAGCAAACAGGAUUAGAUACCCUGGUAGUCCACGCCUUAAACGAUGAAUACUAAGUGUCGGCGGGUUACCGCCGGUGCCGCAGCUAACGCAGUAAGUAUUCCGCCUGGGAAGUACGGCCGCAAGGUUGAAACUUAAAGGAAUUGACGG